rnacentral:rRNA from 1 species
CGCGUAGGUGGUAGUGUAAGUCUGGGGUAGAAUCCCAGGGCUCAACCCUGGAACUGCCUUGGAAACUGCAUUACUUGAGUCAGUGAGGGGAGGGUAGAAUUCCUGGUGUAGCGGUGAAAUGCGUAGAUAUCAGGAGGAAGGCCUGUGGCGAAGGCGGCCCUCUGGCGCUGGACUGACACUGAGGCGCGAAAGCGUGGGGAGCAAACAGGAUUAGAUACCCUGGUAGUCCACGCCCUAAACGGUGGGCACUAGGUGUAGGGCUCGUAAGGGUUCUGUGCCGAAGGGAAACCAUUAAGUGCCCCGCCUGGGGAGUACGGCCGCAAGGUUGAA